rnacentral:tRNA from 1 species
GCGGGAAUAGCUCAGUGGUAGAGCACAACCUUGCCAAGGUUGGGGUCGCGGGUUCAAACCCCGUUUCCCGCUCCA